GACGAACGCUGGCGGCGUGCUUAACACAUGCAAGUCGAACGAUGAAGCUAGAGCUUGCUCUGGUGGAUUAGUGGCGAACGGGUGAGUAACACGUGAGUAACCUGCCCCGAACUCUGGGAUAACUGCUGGAAACGGUAGCUAAUACCGGAUAUGACCAAUGAAGGCAUCUUCUGUUGGUGGAAAGAAUUUCGGUUCGGGAUGGACUCGCGGCCUAUCAGCUUGUUGGUGAGGUAACGGCUCACCAAGGCGACGACGGGUAGCCGGCCUGAGAGGGGGAUCGGCGACACUGGGACUGAGACACGGCCCAGACUCCUACGGGAGGCAGCAGUGGGGAAUAUUGCACAAUGGGCGCAAGCCUGAUGCAGCAACGCCGCAUGAGGGACGACGGCCUUCGGGUUGUAAACCUCUUUUAGUAGGGAAGAAGCGAAAGUGACGGUACCUGCAGAAAAAGCACCGGCUAACUACGUGCCAGCCGCCGCAGUAA
rnacentral:rRNA from 1 species